GCCCAUGUGGCUCAGUAGGUAGAGCGUCACCUUGGUAAGGUGGAGGUCGCCAGUUCAAAUCUGGUCGUGGGCUCCA
rnacentral:tRNA from 10 species